rnacentral:rRNA from 1 species
UACGUAGGGUGCAAGCGUUGUCCGGAAUUAUUGGGCGUAAAGGGCUCGUAGGCGGUCCAUCGCGUCGGGAGUGAAAAGCUGGGGCUUAACCCCAGUCCUGCUUCCGAUACGGGUGGACUAGAGGUAGGCAGGGGAGAACGGAAUUCCUGGUGUAGCGGUGAAAUGCGCAGAUAUCAGGAGGAACACCAACGGCGAAGGCAGCUCGCUGGGACGGUACUGACGCUGAGGCGCGAAAGCGUGGGGAGCGAACAGG